UACGAAGGGGGCUAGCGUUGUUCGGAAUCACUGGGCGUAAAGCGCACGUAGGCGGAUGUGCCAGUCAGGGGUGAAAUCCCGGAGCUCAACUCCGGAACUGCCUCUGAUACAGCACGUCUUGAGUUCGAGAGAGGUGGGUGGAAUUCCUAGUGUAGAGGUGAAAUUCGUAGAUAUUAGGAAGAACACCGGUGGCGAAGGCGGCUACCUGGACCGGUUCUGACGCUGAUGCGCGAAAGCGUGGGAUG
rnacentral:rRNA from 1 species